AUUGAACGCUGGCGGCAGGCCUAACACAUGCAAGUCGAGCGAGUGGCGGACGGGUGAGUAAUGUAUGGGGAUCUGCCUGAUGGAGGGGGAUAACUACUGGAAACGGUAGCUAAUACCGCAUACCAUCGGAUGAACCCACAUGGGAUUAGCUUGUAGGUGCGGUAACGGCUCACCUAGUCGACGAUCCCUAGCUGGUCUGAGAGGAUGAUCAGCCACACUGGAACGGAGACACGGCCUAGACUCCUACGUGAGGCAGCAGUGGUGGAUUGUGCACAAUGGGCUCAAGCCUGAUGCAGCCAUGCCGCGUGUAUGAAGAAGGCCUUCGGGUUGUAAAGUACUUUCAGUGGGGAGGCGUUACCGACAGAAGGAGCACCGGCUAACUCCGUGCCAGCGGCGGCGGUAAUUC
rnacentral:rRNA from 1 species